AUUUGAAUCACCUGGGGACCUUGCUAAAACACAGACUCUGAUUUAGUUGGUGGAGUAGGUCCUGACGACUACAGUACUUCCGGACUCUGUACUUCUAACAAGCUCCCAGGUGAUCCUGAU
rnacentral:pre_miRNA from 1 species